ACCUGGCUGGCUCAAUUGGUAGGGCAUGUGACUUUUGAUCUCAGGGUUGUGGGUUUGAGCCCCAUGUUGGGUA